rnacentral:rRNA from 1 species
UACGGGGGGAGCAAGCGUUGUUCGGAUUUACUGGGCGUAAGGGCGCGUAGGCGGCCAGCACAAGUCAGUUGUGAAAUCUCCGAGCUUAACUCGGAACGGUCAACUGAUACUGUGCGGCUAGAGUGCGGAAGGGGCAACUGGAAUUCUUGGUGUAGCGGUGAAAUGCGUAGAUAUCAAGAGGAACACCUGCGGCGAAGGCGGGUUGCUGGGCCGACACUGACGCUGGAGGCGCGAAAGCUAGGGGAGCGAACGGG